rnacentral:rRNA from 1 species
UACCUGGUCUUGACAUCCACAGAACUUUCCAGAGAUGGAUUGGUGCCUUCGGGAACUGUGAGACAGGUGCUGCAUGGCUGUCGUCAGCUCGUGUUGUGAAAUGUUGGGUUAAGUCCCGCAACGAGCGCAACCCUUAUCCUUUGUUGCCAGCGGUUCGGCCGGGAACUCAAAGGAGACUGCCAGUGAUAAACUGGAGGAAGGUGGGGAUGACGUCAAGUCAUCAUGGCCCUUACGACCAGGGCUACACACGUGCUACAAUGGCAUAUACAAAGAGAAGCGACCUCGCGAGAGCAAGCGGACCUCAUAAAG